GAUGAACGCUGGCGGCGUGCCUAAUACAUGCAAGUCGAGCGAACAGACGAGGAGUUUGCUCCUCUGACGUUAGCGGCGGACGGGUGAGUAACACGUGGAUAACCUACCUAUAAGACUGGGAUAACUUCGGGAAACCGGAGCUAAUACCGGAUAAUAUAUUGAACCGCAUGGUUCAAUAGUGAAAGACGGUUUUGCUGUCACUUAUAGAUGGAUCCGCGCCGCUUUAGCUAGUUGGUAAGGUAACGGCUUACCAAGGCGGCGAUGCGUAGCCGACCUGAGAGGGGGAUCGGCAAAACGGAAGAGAGGCCACGGGCAAACAUCCGAGGGGAGACAAGGAGAGGAAUUCUUCGGCAGGGGGCAAAGGCCGAUCGGGCCAACGCGGGGGGAGGAAGAAGGGGCUACGGUUGGUAAAACUUUUAGGUUGGGGGAAAACAAAUUUAUAUGGUACAUUGAGCGUUUGACGGUACCCAAAAAAGAAGGGACGGCUAAAUUAGUG
rnacentral:rRNA from 1 species